rnacentral:rRNA from 1 species
AUUGAACGCUGGCGGCAGGCCUAACACAUGCAAGUCGAACGAACCCUUCGGGGUUAGUGGCGGACGGGUGAGUAACACGUGGGAACGUGCCUUUAGGUUCGGAAUAACUCAGGGAAACUUGUGCUAAUACCGAAUGUGCCCUUCGGGGGAAAGAUUUAUCGCCUUUAGAGCGGCCCGCGUCUGAUUAGCUAGUUGGUGAGGUAAAGGCUCACCAAGGCUACGAUCAGUAGCUGGUCUGAGAGGAUGACCAGCCACAUUGGGACUGAGACACGGCCCAAACUCCUACGGGAGGCAGCAGUGGGGAAUCUUGCGGAAUGGGCGAAAGCCUGACGCAGCCAUGCCGCGUGGAUGAUGAAGGUCUUAGGAUUGUAAAAUCCUUUCACCGGUGAAGAUAAUGACUGUAGCCGGAGAAGAAGCCCCGGCUAACUUCGUGCCAGCAGCCGCCGUAACAC